AGGCUGCAGCUCCUGCUUCUGCUCCGGUUCUGACUUGUGGCCGUGAUCUCGCAGGACUGCGCAGAGGAACAGAAGAAGAAAAGGCGGAGCUCCAGAGCUCUGGAGAUUUUCCGUGCGAUAUUUUUCUGACAAUCAGAACCCUGUUUGUUCCACGGUGGUGGCGGUUCUACUCAUACCGUUACUCAUCCACAGACAGGAAGAGGAAAGAUGAGCAGUGAGAUAUUGCCUGUGAGGAUGAGCUCGCCUUUCAGACACUUCACACUGACACACUG